UACGAAGGGGGCUAGCGUUGUUCGGAUUUACUGGGCGUAAAGCGCACGUAGGCGGAUCGUUAAGUCGGGGGUGAAAUCCUGGAGCUCAACUCCAGAACUGCCCUCGAUACUGGCGAUCUUGAGUCCGGAAGAGGUAAGUGGAACUCCUAGUGUAGAGGUGGAAUUCGUAGAUAUUAGGAAGAACACCAGUGGCGAAGGCG
rnacentral:rRNA from 1 species